GUCUUUUCUCGCCGCCCCGCCCUUCAAGGGCGCGGCCACUUAUUGUGGAUAGCAGAACCUACUCUGCGUCGCUCCGGAACCGCCCCAUCCGUCACGUGACGGGUAGAGUGGGUCAAAGGAGGAGUGGUUCCUCCGACCGGAAGUGGGGCAGGGUCACAGUUAGCCCAGGGAUAGAGCAAGCUUCGUGUGUCCUUCCGGCGGGCGACGCCCUGGCCACGCAGCUGCCUCCCUGAGAGCUGAUCCGGUCUGACCCGGAGCGGGCAGGAAGCCAGCCCCGGGCCGCGUUUUCUUGUUUCCUCUCCGGAGCGGAUACGAUGGAGGCAGAGCGGGAGGGAGCGGCCUGGAGUUGGAGCCGGAAGGAAACAGCGCAGAGGCCCGGCCCACUUAGCCCUAUUGGACAAAUGAGAAAACCGAGGCCCACGGGAUGGGGGCGGGGGUCCCCAAGAUUCCCGAGCUAAGCCGGAAGGCGCCGGCGCAGAGGCCCACGUCCUCACCCCCAUUGGACGAAUGAGUAAACUGAGGGCCCCGGGAGUGUGACGUGACCUGAGAUCACAGAGCUGAACGGGUUCGCAGGGGCGACUUAGUCCAAUUCCGCCUCAGAACGGAAGCGUGCAGAGUCGCUCCAGGAGCAAGAAAGAGCGGCGUGUAAAAGCGGGACCUGCCCGGAAGAGCGUGGCGGCCCCCUGCUGGGAGCCCCGGCUCAGGCACUUUGUCUCCCUCUUGUCGCUCUGACCCGCCCGCUGAUGGGCGACGUCCUCCUGAGUGGGGGUGGGAUGGGUUUGAAGCCCGGCUUUGCUCCUGGAUCCCUGGGGUCGGUCCAACCCCCCCGCCCCCGGGACUCCGUUGUCCCGCUUGUAAAACGAGGAAGCUGCAGCUGAGGCCGGCAGCCCUGCCCCCCCCCCCCCCAGCCCUCCUCGCUUGCCCUCCCCCAAGCACCAGAGCGGAAGGGGGCGCGGCCGCACGGCCGCCUUUUGGACGGACCCUUGCUGAACUUACAGGUGGCACUGACUGGGCGUGGCCUCCAACCAAAGCAGGCCUUUAUAGGGCGCAGAGCGGUGGGGAAGAGGAGGAUAGUUGGUUUGGAGCCUUCGGUGCUGAACUUGCUUUUGGUGUUAACCUAAUUUUAUCCUAAAUUCAUAUUGUCAGCAAACUGCUCUCUUUAGAACUAUAACGUUAUACCACAGGAUGAUAUUAGUGAUCGUAGGGAGAAAAAUCAAAUGUCUUUUUUUAAGAAAAAAAAAAAAGCACAAUGGGACCCUCUAUUUUCUCUACUUGUUGAUGAAGAGUUUGACAUUUCUUCCUCAGCUUUUCUUUUAGUUGCCCUCAUUCAGUUCUAUGCCCUCAGAGUGACAACUUUUCUGGAUUAACAUCUCCUUAUUCCUGAAAGUGCAGAUUAAGAGUAUACAGCAGUGAGAGUCAGAGCAGGUUCAAACUCCACCCCAAUAUUUCCAGCGUGUGUGAUCCCAGAAACCCUUAAAUCCUCUAUAUUGUGUCUUCUCCGGACUUGGGGUCAGGAAGAUCCAACUUUGAAUUCUGCCUCAGAUGACCGCUAUGGGACCAUGGACAAAUCACUUACCUCACUUGGCUCAUUUGUGGGGAUGAUUACAGCAUUUUCCUCAACGAGCUGGUAGAAGCAAAUGAGACCACAUGUAUAGAACCGUUUGCAAGUUGUACAGCACUAUAAAAUGCUAGCAUUGACAGCAGUGAUGAUGAUGGAGACAAUGCCAAAAGGCCCCUUCCUGGUCUAAAACUGAUUCCAGGACUUUGCCCUGCCACAAUAAAGUACUUGUGAGGACGAUCUGUACACGUGUGGAGGAUAGCUUUACUGAAGCUAUGAAGGGUUAGACAGGCUUUCACAAGGGAUAUACUAUUGUGCCACUGAAUGAGAAGGGGAGAGCACUUUUGCCAUAAAGGAUCUGUCAAAAAGAGGGCUCUUGCAUGUUAUGAUCAUAACAAGGUUUCUUAACAAAUCUCUGUCAGUAUCAAAAGAAGAACAUGCAGUGAAAUGUGUACUUACAAAGGUCAACACUUUUGUGUUAGUCUCUAGAGACAGAACUACAAAAAGUGAAAUCCUUUAUAGAUGGUGAGGUCUUCCAUAUGUUCCAAUGGGCAGAUAUUUUAUCACAGUUACUACAUCCCUAUUACUAUGCCAGUCGCUACGCUGAGUGGUAGAGAUAGAGAAAAGACUCCCUGCCCCCAAAGAUGGUACGACCUAACCAGGAGACGGUAUGCAAUUAAAUAUGUACAAACAAGGAAAUGAGAGGGAGAGCAUUGGAAUUAGGAAAGACUGCCGGUAGAAGACGGAAUUUUAGCUGGAACUUGAAGGAAACCAGGAGAAAUUUACAUGAUUGUAGAUGAUGAGAGAAUCCAUAUGGUCCAAGGGGCAAUGGAGGGAUGCAUACAUAAUGGACACAAGACAACUACAUUAGAGUACCAACAAUGGCUUAUGUGCAAAUAGUGUUGUAAGGCCUAUCAUCCGGGAAACAUGGAACCAAAAAAGGAGAGAGUCCAAGCAUGCAUCUUGAGCAAGGGCAAAAACAGCCAACACGGGUGCCUUAAUAGGAAACUCCUGAGGAUUUUUUGGAAGACCUCUAUUUCAUUAAUGGCACAUAUUCUUUAUGGAGGAUUUUCAGAAGGAGCUGAACAAGAAAGGAUCAGGUGGUAGAGGGCCACUGAGUGCAAAGUCAAAGAGUGCGCAUAACAGUGAAAUAGUGAAUCCAGUCCAACAAAGAAAACAUUUUUCAAGCAUUUGAGAUUGAGGCAUUAUGCUACACAAUUCUCAGUUUUUAUGAUUGAAAUUAUAAAAUGUUAAUUAUUAAUAUAACAAUGGUUAUUAGUAUAUAUAAUUACAAUAUAAUGUAAUUAUAUAUAGUAAUAAUUAUCAUUUAAAAUAAAUUAAAUAUGAGAUUAGAUAUUUAGCAAAUAUCAGGUUGUAAAACUCCUAUGAACCAAAAACAUGGUUAACAUAAUCUGAAGUCAUACCUGCAAAGAAACUUUGUUAUACAGAUUGGAAGCCAGGAAAUUAAAGCAGGAAAACUUGGUCAGAAAAGUGAAAAUGUGACUGCAAAGGAAUCAUCACAGUUUUAUGUGGACAUAUUUAUAGACAGAAAAAGAAGGUUGUUUCUUUUUCAUCUGAAAGUUUAAAUCUUAUUUCAUUUAGUCCAGAGUCUACCGGGAUUUGUUUGGUUAAUAAGGCAUGACAUUAAGAAAGCAAUGUAAAGCCUUUUUUGUAGGCUAUCUGUAGGCAAUAAAAAGCUCUGUCUUAUUAUA